UACGGAGGGGGCAAGCGUUAUCCGGAUUCAUUGGGUUUAAAGGGUGCGUAGGUGGGCAGGUAAUUCAGUGGUGAAAUCUCCGGGCUUAACCCGGAAACUGCCAUUGAUACUAUUUGUCUUGAAUACUGUGGAGGUCAGCGGAAUAUGUCAUGUAGCGGUGAAAUGCUUAGAUAUGACAUAGAACACCAAUUGCGAAGGCAGCUGGCUACACAAAUAUUGACACUGAGGCACGAAAGCGUGGGGAUCAAACAGG
rnacentral:rRNA from 1 species